GAUGAACGCUGGCGGCGUGCCUAAUACAUGCAAGUCGAGCGAACGGACGAGAAGCUUGCUUCUCUGAUGUUAGCGGCGGACGGGUGAGUAACACGUGGAUAACCUACCUAUAAGACUGGGAUAACUUCGGGAAACCGGAGCUAAUACCGGAUAAUAUUUUGAACCGCAUGGUUCAAAAGUGAAAGACGGUCUUGAUGUCACUUAUAGAUGGAUCCGCGCUGCAUUAGCUAGUUGGUAAGGUAACGGCUUACCAAGGCAACGAUGCAUAGCCGACCUGAGAGGGUGAUCGGCCACACUGGAACUGAGACACGGUCCAGACUCCUACGCGAGGCAGCGUUAGGGAAUCUUCCGCAAUGGGCGAAAGCCUGACGGAGCAACGCCGCGUGAGUGAUGAAGUUCUUCGGAUCGUAAAACUCUGUUAUUAGGUAAGAACAUAUGUGUAAGUAACUGUGCACAUCUUGACGGUACCUAAUCAGAAAGCCACGGCUAACUACGUG
rnacentral:rRNA from 1 species